GUUUGUGUGCUUGGAGGUUACUAUUGCAUCAAAUGCUUUCCCGCAUGACACCAUCCCACUACCAACUGCUCCCAUUAGCCUUCCAACUCACCUCCGUUAUCUGCAAGACUAUCUGCCCACUUCGGCAGUCACACAUCUGCUAGCUGAUCUCCUGAAAAUGCAGUUUGACCACGUUCAUUCCAAAACUACAGGACAUCCACCACGUGCCAGGUCUUUCCGAUGACCGCCCAUCGCUGUGGAUUCAUGCUGCCUCUCGGAAUCCAUGUGCAGCCUGCGGAAGACCACUAUGUAACAACUACUUCAAAGAAACCAGCUCUCUGAGGGCGUGUUGAUGUGGAUAAUUCUAAACAGUGGUGAUAGAAUCUUAAAAUUGAGUCGUUCCAUCCACAGUAUAUUUUUGGCAUUGAAGACAGCAGAGUGGAAUGCUACCCAUUCAAACAUUUGCAGCGUCUUUCCCCAUUUCUGGCUACUGCCACAGAAAACUCAGAG
rnacentral:lncRNA from 1 species